rnacentral:rRNA from 1 species
GACGAACGCUGGCGGCGUGCUUAACACAUGCAAGUCGAACGGAAAGGCCCUGCUUUUGUGGGGUGCUCGAGUGGCGAACGGGUGAGUAACACGUGAGUAACCUGCCCUUGACUUUGGGAUAACUUCAGGAAACUGGGGCUCAUACCGGAUAGGAGCUCCUGCUGCAUGGUGGGGGUUGGAAAGUUUCGGCGGUUGGGGAUGGACUCGAGGCUUAUCAGCUUGUUGGUGGGGUAGUGGCUUACCAAGGCUUUGACGGGUAGCCGGCCUGAGAGGGUGACCGGCCACAUUGGGACUGAGAUACGGCCCAGACUCCUACGGGAGGCAGCAGUGGGGAAUAUUGCACAAUGGGCGGAAGCCUGAUGCAGCAACGCCGCGUGCGGGAUGACGGCCUUCGGGUUGUAAACCGCUUUCGCCUGUGACGAAGCGUGAGUGACGGUAAUGGGUAAAGAAGCACCGGCUAACUACGUG